GUGUUCGUGGUGUAGUGGUUUGCAUGCGGCCCUGUGAAGGCCGAGGUGACGAGUUCAACUCUCGCCGAACACC
rnacentral:tRNA from 1 species